rfam:Parcubacteria bacterium GW2011_GWA1_47_9 TY14_C0039, whole genome shotgun sequence.
GCGGUCAUCGUAUAACGGCUAUUAUGCGUCCUUGCCAAGGACGAGAUGGGGUUUCGACUACCCCUGACCGCA